GUCUACAGCCAUGCCACCCUGAACAAGCCUGAAGUCUGAUCUUGGAAGCUAAGCAGGGUCAGGCCUGGUUAGUACUUUGUUAGGGAGACCACCUAGAAAGACCAGGUGCUGUAGGCA
rnacentral:rRNA from 1 species